GGGGAGGGGGUCAAGGUUGGGCGGGGGUGGGGGUUGGCACCAAGCCGUGGCGCGCGAGAGGGGAGGGGCGGGUGAGCGGAGGAGAACGGGCGAAUAUAGCACGAGCUCCUCAGGUAACGUUUGGAGUUCCUGCGCGUGGCCCGGAGGCGGCGCGAGGGGCGGGGGAGCGGGAGGCUUCAGGCUCAGCCUAUAAAAGGGCCGCCCAGGCCGUUUCGUUCCUAGUACGUGCUGGCAGCCACCAUGGUCGGGUAGCUUUAUACCCCCCCCUACUUACUUUCCCCUCCUCCCCUCCCCCCCGCCCUUUGCUGCAGUAUGUGCACCCUGCCUGUUAAUGAGUUCUAUUCAGGCUUGGCUCUGCUCGGCUAUCCUCCGCCCUGCCCUAUUCUGCCUUUCCUUUGCUUUCCUUGUCCUGCUCUGCCAGUAGUUGUCAAAUUGAGUGUUUGAGAAUUUCCCGUUUCGGUGUUAUACGCCCCCACCCCCACUUUUCCUCUUUUCUCUUCCUCUCUCCCACUCAAAAGCUUCUUGUUUUAUCCUCGUGGCUCCGAGCCGCCGCCUCUGUCUGCGCGUGCCUGGGUUUGCGUGUGUACAUUCCUGCCUGCCUGCCUGCGACCUUUCCCCCCAGUGGAAUGUGGGAUUUAAAGAUUUUUAGAAAACCACGGAAAAAAAGCCAGGGUGCCCCCUCUAGAUUGGGACACCGAGACCAACAUGUUAUGCAUUACCACUUUGUGUGAGGCAUAAAAGCAAAUUUAAAACACAGGCUUUUAUCUGAAAGAGGAUUGUAGGAAAUCUUGCAAAACAUCCCUGGAAACAUGAAUCCGAAUUUAAGGGAAUAAGAUUACGAGGGGAAAAGUCACUGUACUGGAAGUUCGGCGAUUUGAGUUCUUGCCUAUGUUACCUUAAAUUAACUCAUCUCUCUGCCUCAAUUUAACUCCGGCUGUAAAAUGAAAAUGAUACAUUUUAUCCCAUCAGUUAUUUUAAAAUUUGAUGAUUACACUUAGUUAGAGACAAGAUUCCUAGAUUUUAGUAACAAGUACAAUGUUGUGGUCCUGUACAUCUCCGUUUCGCCCAAAUGUUAAAACUAAAAAAUAGAUAUCAAAGGAGGAUUUAAGGCUAAAGGGCAUCUUGGAGAUGAUUUAAUACUUAAAGAUGAGAAAACAAGUGGGUGAAUGACAUUGCACAGUGUAUCACAGAGACCAAAUAGCCUAGUUGCUUCAGGAAUUUGUGGGCAAGUCAUGUGACUUCAGUUCCAGUGAUUUUUAUACAGUACUGGUGCUUUUAGAGGGCCUCGUUUGAUAAAAUUGUGAGCUUUAAAGUAGAAAAAAAAAGCCCUUCAGAGAAAGACCACCGAAAAUUCAAUCAUGAAAUUUUAACUCUCUAAGCCACUUUUCAAAAGAGGAAAUUGAUGCUGGUAAGCAUCUAUUUGUUUUUUUUUUUAAAUAAGUCAUUGAAAUAAUAAAUGACAAAAGGAAGAUGACCUCACGCUUUUAACUUUUUUUAAAAAGCCUUACCUUCUGUCUUGGAAUCAAUAUUGAUUCCAAGGCAGAAGAGUGGUAAGGGCUAGGCAAUUGGGGUCAAGUGACUUGCCCAGGAUCCCACAGCUGGGAGGUGUGGGAGGUCAAUUUUGAAUCCAGGACCUCCCAUUUCUAGGCCUAGCUCUCAAUCUACUGAGCUGCCUAGUUCCCUUCCCUUUUGUCUUCUAAUGCAGUGUUCUUUCAUCAUAGCUGCAUCAAUUUCAUAAGGAAUAUAGUAAUUAAUGAGGACAAUUCCCUCUUAAUGCAUAUAAUGAAAUUCCCUCCAUUAUUAGCCAGACAAUACUUAUUAAUAAUAAGCUUUUAAGUUAGUGCAAAUAUUUAAUUCCGUUAGAUACAACUAUCUUAGGUAUAAUAAUUUAUAGGUACACAAAUAUCCUAGGUAUCCCUACCCCCAAGAGGAAGUCAGAUGAUCUUAGACUGAAAUGGAAUUGCUGGGCCACUGUGAGAGCUACAGAAUCACAAGUUGGCAGUAGUGGAAUGGCAGAAUGCACAAGGAACUUCUUGGACUCAGCAGUGAUGUCUCUUGAAAGGCAAAAGCUAGAAUUCAUCAGUAGCAACACAGUUCAGAUACAAAUGAGUUUGUCUACCUUGUCUUUCCAGUGAAUUACAUGGAUUGUGUAGAUCUGGGCUGAGCCUGAAUGUUUUCCCCUUCAGGUCUUUGUAGGGAUAGAGUAGAGAUGGGAGGUAGAAACUCAGGCCCAAGCCUAGGGAAGUACUAUAAUUUUAAAAAAUUUUAUAGGUGAAUGGUGGUAGGUGGAGUCCCACUCAAGAACGAAGAAUCCUCUUGACUAUUUUAUGGACCAUUUUUCAGUAUAAGUAAAGCCCAUCGUAUAUUUAAAGUUAUGUUAUCCUCAAUGUUUAUGUUGGGUCUAGAGCCUCUUUUCCUCCUCAGUAGAGACUGAAACAAGCCAAUUAAUAAAGUUCCCAGGGAGAUCCUGGGUAUGACCAUAAACCAAAAGGAAUUUCUGAAGUAUACCUCCCAGGACAUAACCUUGUCUAUAAAUCCAGUGCUUUACUUCUUUGCUAAGAAUUACCCUAUCCUACAGAGAAAAUCAGAGAAAUGGCAUAGAAAAGGAGCAAACAGUGGGAAAAAAUUUGAGGAAAGGAAUAAUUUCUCAUAGGAUCAGAAAAAACUUCAUGAAGAAAAGGGAUUAUGAUCUAGGUCUUAAAAGGUAGGCAAGGAUUUUAUUGGUGGAGAUAGUGUAGAAGAUACUGGGAAUAAUAUAAAGACAUGGAGUCAGAAAUUCAUAGGACAUGAGAGAGCUUGGCUAGUCCCAUUUGAUUGAAGCAUAGAGUAUGUGAUAGGUAGUAGUGAGAAAAAUUUGCAAAAGUGUAAUGGUGCUAGAUUGUUAAAGGGCUUAGAUUGCUGUGCUAAAGAUUUUGGACUUAAGUAAACAGAGGGAAGCCACUCUUUUCAAAGAUUUCAAAGAAGUGCCACUAGAUUUGUGCAUAAACAAUAUAAAGAAUAGAGUCAAGGGGAAGAAGACAGCUUAGAAGAACAUUGCAAUAGUCUAGGAGAGUUGUGAUAUAUUUCAUGGAUAUGGAAAGCCUCCACUUUCUUACCCUAAUUUCUUGUCUUUAAUAACUUCUGCCUUGAAUUUCAUGUAAGGGACUCAAAACAUGUACCAAAUUUAAACCAGCUUUUGUACCUAAAAGGGGCAUAUCACUGUACUCUCUUAUGGUCCCACUUAGCAUCUCUGUAACUUCAAAGAACAAAAUAUCCCCUAAGAGUAUAAUCUCUUUGAGGACAAGAACUAUCUUUGCUUUUAUAUUUAUGUCUCCAGGGGUCAGCUAAGCAUAAUAUUGGUAUAUUGUAAGUAAUUCAAGUGAUUAUCAUCCUUUGGUAAAAGAUUCCUAAUAGACCUGUCUACUUCAUUCCUCCCUAACCAUUCUCCACCUAGCUGUCAAAUUGAUAUUUCUAAAGCAUAGGUCUAACCAUGUCACUCCUGUUUAAAGACUUCACUGGUUUCCCAUUGUUUCUAAGAUUAAACAUAUACUCCUCUUUUUGACAUUUAGAACACUUGUAACCUAUCUUUCUAGACCAAUUAUACAUUAUACAUCCUCAUGGCAUUCCAUGUCCCAGUAAAAUUGGCUUACUUGGUAUUCUGUAUAUGACAUUUCGUUUCUUAUCUUUGUGACUUUGCAACUAGAUUGUCUCCCUCCCUUUUCACCCCUUGGAAAGUCUAGCUCCCUUCAAGCCUCAGCUCAAGUUCCACUUUGUUCAAGAGUCCUUUCCUGAUCCCCAUAAUUAUUAACACCCUCCCUCUCGAUUUGAUAUUUAUUUGCUAUAGUCUACUUAUUUAUACACGUAUUGCUUUCCACCAGUAGAAUGUAAUUUCUUUGAAGGCAAAGACUUUUACAUUUUUUUUUGAGGAUAUGACUUGCUUUAAUUUAUUUAGGGAGGAGCUGACAGAACUAAAAUUGGAACAUGUGUCCUGACUCCAGGUCUGUGAGUUCAGUUUCUUUUUCCAUACUCUUUAGCAAAAUUACCAAGAAACACCAAGAAAGCAGAGGUUCUCUACCAGCUAGCACCAUAUGCAGAACCAUUGGUUACAGUAAAUGGAGAAAUCUUGAACACUGUAAUAAAUUCAUUUACCUUGGCAGUUGACUUUCCAAGGAUGAACACAUAGAUGAUGAGGUUGACGCACCCUUUGCUGGAGGUGGCUCAGUAUUUGAGAGGCUCCAAAGGAAAGUGUGGGAGAGAAGAGGUAUGAGGCUGCCUACUAAACUGAAGGCCCUACAGAGCUACUGUGCUGAUUUCAUUGUUUUAUGCCUGGGAAACCUGGACAGUCUACCAGCACCAUGUCAGGAAAUUGAACUGCUUUCAUUUGAAUUGUCUUUUUUUUUCUUGACAGGAACCAGGGAUGGGUUUUUUUUUUAAAUUUUAUAGUAUUUUAUUUGAUCAUUUCCAUGCAUUAUUCAUUAAAGACAAAGAUCAUUUUCUUUUCCUCCCCCCCACCCCCCGUAGCUGACGCGUGAUUCUACUGGGUAUCACAUGUGUUCUUGAUUCGAACCCAUUGCCAUGUUGUUAAUAUUUGCAUUAGAGUGUUCGUUUAGAGUCUCUCCUCUGUCAUGUCCCCUCAACCGCUGUAGUCAGGCAGUUGCUUUUCCUCGGUGUUUCUACUCCCACAGUUUGUCCUCUGCUUAUGGAUAGUGUUUUUUCUCCUAGAUCCCUGCAGAUUGUUCAGGGACAUUACACUGCCACUAACGGAGAAGUCCAUUACGUUUGAUUAUACCACAGUGUAUUAGUUUCUGUGUACAAUGUUCUCUUGGUUCUGCUCCUCUCGCCCUGCAUCACUUCUUGGAGGUCGUUCCAGUCUCCAUGGAAUUCCUCCACUUUAUUAUUCCUUUUUGCACAAUAAUAUUCCAUCACCAACAUAUACCACAAUUUGCUCAGCCAUUCCCCAAUUGAUGGGCAUCCCCUCAUUUUCCAGUUUUUGGCCACCACAAAGAGCGCAGCUAUGAAUAUUUUUGUACAAGUCUUUUUGUCCAUUAUCUCUUUGGGGUACAGACCCAGCAGUGCUAUGGCUGGAUCAAAGGGUAGACAUUCUUUUAUCACACUUUGUGCAUAGUUCCAAAUUGCCCUCCAGAAUGGCUGGAUCAGUUCACAACUCCACCAGCAGUGAAUUAAUGUCCCCACUUUGCCACAUCCCCUCCAGCAUUCAUUACUUUCCAUAGCUGUUAUGUUAGCCAAUCUGCUAGGUGUGAGGUGAUACCUCAGAGUUGUUUUGAUUUGCAUCUCUCUGAUUAUAAGAGAUUUAGAACACUUCUUCAUGUGCUUAUUAAUAGUUUUGAUUUCUUUAUCUGAAAACUGCCUAACCAUGUCCCUUGCCCAUUUAUCAAUUGGGGAAUGGCUUGAUUUUUUGUACAAUUGAUUUAGCUCUUCAUAAAUUUGAGUAAUUAGACCUUUGUUAGAGAUUUUUAUUAUAAAGAUUUUUUCCCAAUUUGUUGUUUUCCUUCUGAUUUUAGUUACGUUGGUUUUGUUUGUACAAAAGCCUUUUAAUUUGAUGUAGUCGAAAUUAUUUAUUUUACAUUUUGUGAUUCUUUCUAUGUCUUGCUUGGUUUUAAAGUCUUUCCCCUCCCAGAGGUAUGACAUGUAUACUAUUCUGUGUUUACCUAAUUUACUUAUGGUUUCCUUCUUUAUGUUUAAGUCUUUCACCCAUUUUGAAUUUAUCUUGGUGUAGGGUGUCAGGUGUUGAUCAAUUCCUAAUCUCUCCCACACUGUCUUCCAAUUUUCCCAGCAGUUUUUAUCGAAUAGUGGAUUUUUGUCCCAAAACCUACAUUUUUUCUUUGUGUUUCCAGCAAUGAAUAAUAAAUGCUUGAAUUGCAUUGAAAAAUAUGAGAGUUUGUGUGGAGAUGAAAUUAAUAGGACCUGGCUACCAAUUGACUUCCUCUUUCCUAAGGUUACCCUGAAAUUUUGAGUGUAGGUCAAUAGUGAUGCUUUCAGUAGAAAUUGGGAAGAUUAGGUUUUAGAAGAAAAGUAGUAAGCUUAGGUCUAUGGCAUUGGAAUUUGUGAUAAAAAUUUGGUUCAGUUGCAGAGGUCCAGCAGGCAAUUGGAAAUGUGAGUCUAGACUUAAGGAGAAAGAUCAGGGCUAAUUACAAUUUUGGGAGAUAUACUUGAAGCCAUGGAAAGAAUGAAAUUGUUAAAGAAGAAGAAGAAGAAGAAAAAAAAACAAGUUCGAGAACAGAAUUCAGAACAGUGCUAUAAAUGAACUUUGUGUAAAAGCCAAUCAUGAAGACAGAAAGAGAUCAGAUAAUAACAAUGAGGAGAAUAAAAUGUUGUGGAAGCUGUGAGGAAAGACUAUGGGGAGAGGGAGAAGACUGUUGAAUUGAGUUAAGUACUGUAGAGAGAUAUAUGAGGGUGACAACUGAGAAGAUACUAUUGGAUUUGACAAUAAAGGAGAUAAUUGGUGACCUUUAGUAAAAUAGUUUCAAUAGCAUAAUGGAGAAAAAAGUCAAAUAGCAUUGGGUUGAGGAGUGACUAGGUAAAGUGUUAUCUUAAGAGAAAAAUAAAAUUUUAAAAUGGGAAUAUUAUGCCAAAAUAGAAUUUCUGAAAAAUGUUAACAAUUUUCUGAACAAACUGAAGUCCAGAUGUAACAUUGUGAAAUUAGAAUGUGAACCCCAGAACUCUCUUUCCCAGCUUCCCAUCUACCUUCUCAAUUUAUAUGCUAACAUAGGGAAGAUAUAAGUUUUGCAUAGCUCCGCCCCUUGCUCAUUUUUCUCUGGUGGAGGGGGGUGAGGUGAGAGACCAGGGAGUUUUACUCAGGUUUUAUUUCUAUUUCUUUUUUCUUCUAUUUCAAGUGAUUAUUAAUAAAUCUUAUAAAACAUAAUACAUGGAGUUAUUGGAUAUUAAUUUAAAUUUUACAACAUGGUAAAUAAAGUAAAUCUAUAGUUUUCAAGUUAAAGUGUACCUAGGCGAGAGAAAAAUGAGAACUAUCACAUUAAUAGUUUAUUUCUGAAAGAACAGAAAUUUUGUUCUGCCUCUUAAAUCAACAUCAGUAGCAUUUGGAAUGUUAAGAAAAGGGAAAUUAAACAAUCAAACUCUUUUUGCACUCUAGACAAGGAACACUCAUACCAGAAGAUGAUUUCAUAGCCAUAUUUUGGGUAUGGUUCUAUAUUGUUUCAUUUAACUUAAUUUGAUAGCAGAAUUUUAGAAUUCUUGUAAAAGAGCUUAAACAGUUAACAAUAUCUCUCCUAGUUCAUUAGUGUUUUAAAAGAACUCACCCUCAACUAGCAUAUUAACAUUUAGAACUUAAAAUUAACUAAACACAACUAAUAACAAUAGCUUAUAUUUAUUAUUUCUCAUUUGAUACAACAACCCUAUGAAAUAGAGAGUGAAAUUAAAAUUCUGGAAUGAAUAGCAAAAAGAUGAUCUAGCCAAGAGUUUCUUUACUUUUUUUUUGUAUUACAGACCCCUCUGGCAGUCUAGUGCAAUCUAUGUGCCUCUUAUUUGAAUAAUGCUUUUUAAAAAAUAAAUAUAUUUAUGUAUAAAGGAACCUAAUUACCAAUUAAAUUGAUAUUCUCUCAGAAUUUAUUUUUGGGUUCAUAGAUUUCAGGUUAAGACUCCUUGAUAUGCCAACCCUUUUAUUUUACAGAUGAGAAAACUGAAGCCCCUCAAAGUGAAGUGAUCUUCCUAUUGUCACACAGUUAACAGCCAAACAUGGUUUGAACUCUUAAAUAUUGACUUCAAACUCAGUGCCAUCCUUAUUUUACACUUGAAGAAACCAAACCUUAGUUAAGUAACUUGCCAAAAAAAAAGUGUCUCAUUAUGGCAGAACCAGGGCUUGAAACAAGGUCUCCUUACUCUAAGUCCAUUGCUUUUUCCCAGUUCAUUAUCAUCUCUUAAUAAAUGUGAAGUGAAAGGCAGAGGAUUGGAUCACAUCAACAGAUAGUAUUGGACCUAAAGAAAUAAUUUAUAUUAUCAGCAUCAUCCAUAGUUCUCAUCCUGACUCUAUACUUGGUACUGUAUAAAACCAAUUAGUACCUAUCCUUCAGUAGUGUAAUAGAGGGUGAAAUGUGGAAGAUUCUGUGAUAUGGGGAAAAGGAAGAUAAAAGAAAUGAUGUCUUCCCCCCACACCCAAAGCUGCCUUCAGCUUUUGACUGCUGGGUUCCUUGAAGGAUCUAUUGAAGAGACUUACAGUAGUAAGUUCUCUUCUUGGGGAGAGAAAGUCACCUCUCUCCCCCUCACUCUCAAGUUUCCCUCUAAUAAUAUUGGAGUCGGUUCUUGAAUCUUUCUUGACUAAAAUUUAUUGUAGGGAAACAAAAAAAGGGUACAGGGCAGUGGAGAGUAAAGAUUUAGUGUUCAGGAAGGAAGGAGGGAGAAGGGGUCCCUAACUAGUUAAAAUCCUUCCCCCAAAGUCAAGCAGAUCAGGUUUGGUUUACCUGACCCACUUGGGGUCAGAAUAAUGAGGACUCUGGUUCUUGGCUGCACUGUAAGUUUCCCAAGUUGACGUUCAAAGGAGGUAGAUGGAAAAUCUUCUUUGUUGGACAGUUUAUUUCUCAAAGUCCUGUCCGAUCUAACUUGUCUUCUGGUGGGAUCUGGAUCAGAAAUCACAGAGAGAAGAUCACUGGAUCAAGGAGCCAUUUGGAGCUACUAUCUGGUCUAUGGUGCCAGACAGAAGUCAGUUUCCCAACUGUAGCUGGAUCAACUCGGCUCUCUUCCCUCUACAAAGUUCUGAGUUCCUUUUUCUUCCCAUCCCUUGCUGUUGUAGAAUUCUGCAGCUCUCUCCUUGUUCAUUUCUCUUCAAGAUGUCAAACCUUCUCUUACAGUAGUUUAUAAUCAGAAGACAGAAGUUCUCUAUUGGGGAUUUUUAUUCUAUGUUCUGAUUGAGCAAAGUACAAUAAAGUCAAUAAUGUCUUCUAAUUCAUUUGCUCACUUGAAAGGUCUUUUUUGUAGUGGCUCUUUCCAGUGUGAAAGGAGUGAUAAUAGUAGCCUUGUCUUUCCUUUAACUGAAGAGGCACUAAACAUGUAGGAGAGAAGUUUGGUGAUAAAUAGGCAAAUUCAUAUGCCUUAUGGAUAUAGAUGAAUCCAGGUCUCUGGCAUUUAACUUUGCUCAAGUUUCUGGUAGAUGUUGAAAGAACUGAGAAUCUAGGGAAAAGCAGUGGGAACCUUCUAGCCUACUAAAGAAAAACUGUAGAAACAACCAUUAGAGGGCAUACCUAUGAAUCUGAUGUUUUCAAUUGAUGCCACAAUACACUAUAGUAGUCUUUAAAUUCAGUGGAAUUAAUUUUUUUGAGAUUUCAAUUUUAAUUUGUCUUUCAAGAAUGUCAACGUUGUUAAAAAUAGUGUUGCUACAUGUGCUGCUAGAGAUCUGCUAUCUCUGUCUUUAUCUGCUAUCAUUAUUUGUUACAGAAAUCAGUUUUACUUUUUCAAAUAGGUUAUCCCUUCAAUAUCUUAUUUUCUUAGUUAUAUCUCUCCUCUCCAAACUCCAAACCAGAUCUGUCAAUGGAGUCAAGAGUAUUUGCUGUUUUGGCAUGAUUCAUAUUUUUGCUUAUUUAUAUUGUUUAUAUUUAUAUUGUUUUGCCUUUGUUUUCUUCUGUAGUGAGUUCAGUAAAGUUCAACAUACCUGCCCCAUUCAUUCGCUUCAUCAGAGAGGAUAUAGAACUCAAGUUCCAACCCACUCUUGAUGAUUCCAGCUAAAAAGAAUGUGUGCUACAGCUCAUGAGAGCAAACCUUUAGUCAACUUCUCAGUUCUUUAUCUAAACUUUAGAAAGCUGCAAAGCUUACUUUGUAACUUUUAGGAAAUUAUGAAGCAGAAUAAAUCCCCUUUUCAGAAGCAUUUCUGAAUUUCAUGCAAGUAUGGAAGAAUCUAAAGGCAAUUUCCUCUAAUUUUGUUUCUUCCCUAUGGAUCUAGCACUUCCUUUACAUAAGGGAGUUAGAAGUGGACAUUUUAAUGAGAGAUAGUUGUUUUAAAAAAAAAGGCUUCAUUUUUUUUUUGCAACUUUGAAAUCUAUUAAACUCUUGUGAAAGUCAAAAAACUUUUAAAUGUCUCUCAAUAUUGCUUCUAGUAGUAGUCAGAACUAAUGUCUUAAAGAUAGGGAUUAAAGAAACAAAAAUGAAAGUGAUUGUGGUGUUCAGACCCCACCCUAAUUGAUACUGUUUCCUCUGUGAUUGUAAAAACCAGAAGACUAUAUAGCAGGGAUGGUGAACCUUUUAGAAGUGGAAUGCCAGACCCUGUUCCCAUUUAUUCCCCCAGACUGCAUGCCGUGUCCUUCCCCCUUGGAAUGCUCCCACACAGGGGAGGGAGAAAGCUCUCCCACUGAGCUGCUUGGCAGAAGAGUAGGUGAAGUAAGGAAUGUCCUUAGCCAGUGUAGAGAGGGCAAGGGGAGUGACCUGAAAGCUCUCUUUUCUUCAGCUCUGCCAUCUCUGAGCCACCCACCUUACCCCCCAUGUGUGCUCUCAUUGGCUGCUAGGCAGAGGGGCAGAGGAUAUGAAAAGAUGUCAUUGGGUGUGGUGAAGAGCAGGAGAGGAGAAGCUCUGACCGAGUCCCUCCCCUUUUCUAGUAACAAACUAGGGGUUGGGAGUGGGGGGAACUUCUGCGUGCUCACAGAGAGCCAUCUAUAUGCCAUCUUUGGCACCUGUACCAUAGGUUCACCAUCACUACUAUAUAGCAGUGUUAUCCCCACCCUUCAAAGCUGAGUCUGAGCCAUUCCUCCAUGACCUGAAGGGGUGGGGAGAAGAGUAUAGAACAAAAAGAUGUUCCUUUUGCUAAUUUAUCCCAGAAUAUUGGAGGUAUAUAUUACCAUUCAAUCAGCGAGAAUUGGAAAUAUAAAUUUGGUGGGAAGGCCACAACUAAAACUAGAUAUGAAUAAUAAGAGCAUAAUUUAAGAGGGAGAUUAGUGCUAGAGGCCACAUAAAUCAAUCAAGCUCAAGAGAAAACAGGAUAGCAUAGACUGUUUGGCCACUUUGCCUCUAGAGGAAAAGGGACCUAAAUGUUCACCUGACUGAUAAGGACCAUAUUGACCAUUGAAGACAGCUAGAAGAAUUGCUUCAAACUAGUUAGGUCAGAGGGUAUGGUUUAAAAGAUAGUGGUAUUUCCCAAGAUUAGAGACUUGAUUUCUUUUUUAAAAUGGCAAGAUGAUUGGGAAAAUUGGAAAACAGUAUCGGAAAAAUUAGGUUUAGAUCAACAUCUCACAUCCUAUAUAACAAGAUGAAUUCAAAAUGGAUAAAUGACUUAAAAAGAGUGAAAUCAUAAGUAAACUGGGUGAACAUAGAAUAGUAUACCUGUCAGAUUUGUGGGAAAGGAAGGGAUUUAAGACCAAGCAAGAGUUAGAGAACAUUGCAAAAUGUAAAAUGAAUGACUUUGAUUAUAUCAAAUUAAAAAGGUUUUGUACAAACAAACCAAUGCAACCAAAAUUAGAAGGAAAGCAACAAACUGGGAGAACAUUUUUAUAACAAAACUCUCUGACAAAGGUUUAAUUUCCCAAAUAUAUAAGGAACUAAGUCAAAUCUUAAAAAAAUCAAGCCAUUCCCUAAUCGAUAAAUGAUCAAGGGACAUGAACAGGCUGUUUUCACAGGAUGAAAUCAAAAGUACAAGAAAAAGUGUUCUAAAUCCCUCCUGAUUAGAGAAAUGCAAAUUAAAACAACUCUGAGGUACCACCUUAUACCUAGCUGACUGGCUAAUAUGGCAGCAAAGGAAAGUGAUAAAUGUUGGAGGGGAUGUGGCAAAAUUGGGACACUAAUGCAUUGCUGGUAGAGUUGUGAAUUGGUCCAACCACUCUGGAGGGCAAUUUGGAACUAUGCCCAAAGGACUUUAAAUGACUGCCUGCCCUUUGAUUCAGCUAUACCACUCCUGGGUUUAUACCCCAAAGAGAUAAUAGAGGAAAAUACAUGUACAAAAAUAAUGUUUAUAGCUGCUCUCUUUGUGGUGUGUGAAGAUGGGAUUAACUCCCACCCUAUUUAUUCUUUAGAUUUUAGCCACCAGGAAUGUAUACAUCCCCACUUAGGAGUUAAGGGUUAAGUGGGGUGAGGGGACAGGGAAGGGAAGGUCUAUGGCCCACAUGUGCUAGCAAGUGACAAAUCAAAAACAACCAACUGCCCCCGGGCAAUCCAAAGCAAAGUUAAAGCCACCAUUGGUACCCAUAAAGGUGGACCAAAGGCACCAAAGAACUGUCUUUAAAUUUGAUGGUAACUUCUGUGAGGGGUCUUCGCCUUUGAACUUGGUCUUGGAGGAGCUUGGGCUUUAGACCUCAGACUGCUUCCUUUUGGACUGACACGUGGGUGAGUGAAAAGGACUGAUUACCUUUCCUUGGCUUUUCUGGAGGCACUAGCUCCAGAGAGGUCCCUCAUCUUGGAGGCCUCCUAGCUAGAAGCCUUGUUUAAUUAAUACUCUGUGUCCUAACCCCCCCCCCCCUUUUGCUGGGGCUUCUGAAACCCUGCCUGGUUUAGACCAGACUGGAGUAGCUAUAUCUCUCUCAUUUUCCUUACUUUCUUUCUAUCUAUUUGUAAAUAAUUUGCAUUUGUAAAUAAAACUACCACAAAAGUCAUUCUGACUUGAGUAACUCAUUGAAAUUUAGUAAUUAAAUUCAUGGUGACCAUACUCUUUAAUAUUUUGCUACUUUAAUACUCCUAAAUAUUCAGUCCAAUAAUAAUUUUUAUCCCUUACAGUUGGCAAAAAAUUGGAAAAUGAGGGGUUAUCCAUCAAUUGGGGAAUGUCUGAACAAAUUGUGGUAUCUGAUGGUGAUGGAAUAUUAUUGUGCUGAAAGGUAUGAUGAACUGGAGGAAUUCCAUGUGAACUGGAACGACCUCCAGGAAUUGAUGUAGAACAAAAGGAUUAGAACCAGGAGAACAAUGUACACAGAGAAGGAUACAUUGUGUCACAAUCAAAUAUAAUAGACUUUUCUACCAGCAGCAAUGACCCAGGAUAAUCCAGAGGAAUUUAUGAGAAAGAACACUAUCCACAUUCAGAGAAAGAACUGUGGAAGCAGAAACCCAGAAGAAAAACAUAUGCUCUAUCACAUAGUUUGAUAGGGAUUUGAUUAGGAUUUUGAUGCUAAAAGAUCACUACUGCAAAUAUGAAUAACAUAGAAAUAAGUUUUGAACAAUAAUACAUGUAUAACCCAGUGGAACUGCUUGUCAGCUCUGGGAGGGGAGGAAAGAGGAGGUAGGGAAUCAUGAAUCAUGUAAACAGAAAAAUAUUCUAAAUAACAUUUUAAAAAGUGUUAUCAAAAAAAUGACAAGAUGAUAAGAGAGAAAUGAGGAAGGCAACUAUCUGAAGGCUUUUUGUAAAGAGAAAAGGGUAUUCUUCAUCAAAGGAGGAAGGAGAAGAUAAAGAGAGAUCUCUCUUCUCUCUUCAAAGGGAUUUGGGGUUAUUGAGUGGCAAAGGGGAAGCAGGAUUGUGCUAGGAAUGGAAGCUUUUCUACCAUAUCAUACGGGUUGGUAGUAUGUACCAGAAGGGCUGAAACACUUACAGCUUUACCAAAAUUAAUCCAUUAACUUGACAUCAAGGCCUGACCUACAGAACUAGAUCAACAAGAGUAUAUUACCUUUCCCUAUGAUCAAGAUUUAAUGGUUACAAAAAAUAGCUAUUUAGUAUUUAAAGUUUUUACAAAGCAUAUUCCUCAAACAGCAUUGAGAAGCAUUUAGUAGUAGAAGAUUAUGUAGAUAAAGACCUAGUAUUCUGCAAAUACUCAUGGAGUUCCAGAAUUAACUAUUAAGACAUGGAGCUUUUUACCUUUUGAUAAACACUGUUCUUUUUUUGAAAAUCCAUUUAUAGCACCUAAAAAAGGUUUGCAUAUUAUUUUCAGUGAAUUGGGGGGGAAAUGCUUGCAUGUUUUAUUAUUAAUCUACAAAACAUCUGCCUUUUAUUCUUGAUAAGCAAAGAAUUAAACCUACAGUUUCUAGAAGUUUCCAGUAUUCUUUCUUUCCUAGCACUGGAUAUUUUUUUCAAUCUACUAUUCUUUUCAAAUUGUCUAAUUCUGCCUUGAGAAAGAUAAAAAAUUUUUUUUCUUAGAUUUUGGUCUAUAGUUUUAAAGAAUAUUGUUCCUUUAUUAGUCUUUCAAGAAUUUAUUGAACACUUGUUUAUACCCUCACAGUCUUAGUAGAAGAGACAAUGCUAAUAUACAAUCUGGCUAGAGAUACCAGCUGAAAACAGCAGAAACAAUUAGUACCUAACAUGAGAAAAAUGAAUGAAUGAAUAAGUCAAUUAUUAAGUUCUUACUCUGCGUAAAAAACAUCAUGUUAAAUACUGGAGAUACAAACAGAAAAGUAGGACAAUCUUUGCUUUCAAAGAACUCCCAUUCUGUGGAGGAGACAAUACAUAUGGAAGAUUUCACUUAUGAGUCAGAUGGAGUACAGCUGCAGAGCAAAUGUUAAUGCUACAUUAAAGUAAUUUCCAUUGAUAAAAUUAUGUCCAUUUCCAGUGUUAAACCAUUUGACAGUACCUUGACAGUUCUCAGUGAUAAGAACCUUCUUUUCUGAAUCUUUAGGAGCUUUGGCUAUACCACCUUCAGGAACAAUUGCAAAGCUACAUCUCCACCAUGGCUCCUUCCUAUAAGAAUUUAAAUUUAGGUUUUAUGCUAAAUAUGAGAUUUCUAAAGUAAUGUGGUCACAGAAAGAGAUGGAAACAUGUAGAUAAAAAGACAGAAAUCACUGCCUACUUACAAAAUACCCUAAGUUUAAUCCUAAUGUCUCCAGACCACAAAUGCGAAUCCAAAAGUGAAUCUCACAAGAAUCCAAAGACCUUAUUAGGAAGCCGAAAUCUGAAGAGCCAGGAGAUGCUAAAGAAUCCACCGAGAACUUUCAGUGCACAAAAGGCUAAGACCGCCAUGACUAUCACCAGAACUCACACUGAAGAGAGUGUCCCACCAACUGACCAAUGAGCAGAGAAAGUCUUCUCACUGAAGAACUGUGACAAGGAAAUCACUUUAAAAGACUGAUAUAUAUUAAUUUAAGGUCGCCAAGGAAUUCAGCUAUGUAAUUCCUAAAUGAAAACUCAAGUCAGCCGUCAGCCUUUUAUAGAGUUUAAUUACAAACAGGAGGAAGAAAGGAAUUAGAGAUAGAGAGAGAGAGAGAGAGAGAGAGAGAGAGAGAGAGAGAGAAAGGGGAGAGAAGGGAAUAGGGCUUAAAUACCCCCUCUGUUUAGGCUGGGCCAAAAGGCCCAAGCCCUUAGAUAGCUGGGGAAAAGAAAGGAGAUCAGUCCCUAUUACUCACGUGACCAAAAUGGAGAAACAGUCUCCGGGGCCUCCACCUCCAGCUUCCUUCAGAGCAAGCUUCUCAGAGCACCUCUCCAACCACUCAGAGCCAAAACUCUCCAACCCCCCUCAGUCCUCAGACCCCUCUCUCUUUAAGGAAACCAUCCAAGUUCCCUCCCCUCAGUUCUCACAUCUACCAAUCACUGUCCAUCAUUUUCCCUGUGCCAAUGGUGGCUCUAGCUUAACCCAGGACCGCCCAGAGGUUUGUGGCUUUGCACAUGUCUGUUGGAGGUCAUAUUCUCAAAUAAUUAAAUCUUGAUCUUUUGCUACAGCCCUUCCUAAAUCCUGUUACCCUGAGUAGGGUAGAGAUUGGAAUAAUUAAAUUUUGAUCUAUGCUGCAGUCCUUCCUAAAUCCUGUUAGGACUGAGUAGGGUGGAGAUUGCAAUUUCCAAGACUUGGUUCUGUCAUUCCAAGUAUCUCCAUUGUAUCAGUUCUAAAAUCAAUCAUGACUCAAAGAAAUUCCUGUUCUAUGCUUAAGCAUAGGUCAAAGUCCUUUCCAUUGUUCAGCAAAAGGUUUCUGUCCUAAAGUAAUCUUAAGAAGGGAGGAGGAGGAACCUCCCAUGCCAAUGGGGUUCACGUUCCAAUAGCCAAGACCCACUAUCAAUAGGAAAUUUUUCAAGUAUGAAAUUUCCCAAUGGUGAAAUUUCCAACAUUUAUAAGUCUAAGAAAUUUUAAGGUUUACAGAACCAAGGAAGGAAUCACUCCACUCACCACCUCAAGCCAACUCAGGAUCCAGGGAAAGAGUCUCCUCCUCCAGUCCAGCUCACCACCACAGAGUGAAUCAGUCCUCAGGAUGGCCUUUUUAAAGCAGUUUUCUUGAAGUCACUUCCUGUCGCCCCACCACUUUAUGGGAAACAGUCUCAGUCUUUCAAUUUGCCUAGCACUACCCAAGGUGGGUGACAGUAGCCUUUGGAGGUGUGAGCUUACUUUAGUAAGUGACUAUGAAUUCUCUUAGUGUUAAGCAGGAGUGCUUUGAGUUUUUGAUUUGUUUAGCUAAAAAUAGAUAAAGGGAGAGUUAAUCCUGUCUUCACAUUCCUAGGAUGAUGUUUGAAAUUACUUGUGCUAGAAGCAUUACUUUCCCAAGAUUUUGGUCCUGGGCUGUCACUGUAAAGGGCUUAAGGGAGAUGGAGGGCAAGGUGGUGAUGGUUGUUUGGCUUGCCUGGCAUACAUUACCUCCUCUGCCUCUGGAUACCUUUCUAUUCAGCAAGGCUGCAUUUGUGUGAGGCAAUUGGUCAAUGGUUUGUGGAGAUAGCUGGCCUCAUGGCUAGCCUUUUCUCCACAGGAGUGACUUCCCCAGAGGACUAGGCUGGAAGCAGAAAUAGUGUUCUGGAAAGUGCCACCACUGCUAGGGCUCUUGUGGUUAUCUGUCUUUGUAGCAAUUUGUUAGCAGGUCUUACAGGUGGAUCCCAUAAUGAUUUCCCCCUUCAAUGAAGGCUGUGGGAUUAGGAAGUGGAUCUAGUGGUACCAUUCUUCCCAAGGCUCUUGGGUCCAAGGUCAUGAUGAUCUAAAGGAAAAUGGUGAUUGCAUUUGGUAGUAGUUUGACACUCCUGUCUCCUACAGCCAACUGAAAAACUCUUGGUUCACAGUAAUAAAACUUCAAGGUUCCCCUUCCUAUGAAUUCCUAACCUGAUUAUUUCUUUGUAGGCUGGGCUGGAUACUGGAAGUGAGAUCCUGCUCUGCUUCUGAGGUCUUAUCCACAGAACUUCUAGCUUCUGAACUUCUUCCUUUCUCAAUACAAAGCCCAGGGCCUUUCUGCCAAAGAACCCUUUUUCAGAUCUCUUCUCAUGCCCUGGAUCUGUGACCUAGAGUUGGAUAAUGGACAGUAAAGCUGCCAGCUGAUGUGUGGACCCUAGUGUAAGUCUUAGAGUGCUCCAGAAUGGUUCUGUGGCCUCCUUUUUCCUCAGUGCACACCCUCUCCCAGAGUGCUACAGAAUCCCACUCCCUUCUCUCUCCUUGUGCAAACUUGGGACAGUUAAAGGACUCACAGAUCUUUUCUGUAUUUCUCCAUCAGGAUUCAGUCUCUUGCAUUUCCUAGUUUCUCUUUGGAGGAGUUGUGGACAGGAUCUCAGCUAUAUCACUUCCUGGUACUCUGCCUUCUUGACUUGGCCACUCUUUUUCAUGCCUCACUCCAUUUAAUCCUUACUUAAUCCUUAUUUAUAAUCCUUAAUCCAAACUGGAGAGUCCAUGCUUUAAAGGAGUUUGCAUCUUGUUCCACUUCACUCUUUUUGUUAGGUGUGUCUGUCCAGAAGAAAUUAAAAGACUCGUUAUAGCCACUUUUGGAAGACUUAUAGUUCACCAGGUGUCCAUAGUCUCUAAACAUAUGAUUUAAAAUAUAUUCUCUACCAGUAGAACACAAGAUCCUUGAGACCAGACACUCAUUUUUACCUUGAUACGGAGAGACUUGUGAGCCUAUCACAGUGCCUGCCAUGUAAUGGUUGUUUAAUAAGUGCUUGUUGAAUAAGUGAUGCAGGAAUGAUUCCUAUUUUACAAAUAAGAACUCUAAACCUCAACCAAUUUAGUACUUAACCACAUUCAUAUAGCUAUGUGUAUCACAGCAAAAACAAUAACCUGAGUCUCCUAACUCCCAAAUCCAUCCCUCUUUCCAUGAUACAACACUACUUAUAUAUGUAUUUAUUUAGCAGCUCUGUAUUAAGAAGCCAAUGGCACACUCAUCUAUACAGCAUAGAUGAAAACGCACAAAGACAAUCGUCACCCUCGGUUACCGAGAGACUACUACUACUACUAUUAAGAAGCACUUACUAUACCAUGUAAGGUAAUAGGGUGAUGCUAAUGUAUUUAAGACCUUGCCUUUGUGUUGGUUAUAGUUUAGUAGAAGGGAAUACGAUACAAGAUAUGAUAUAUUAUGUGCAAUAAAAACAUAACUACAGUUCAGGACAUACUAAAAGAAAGAUAUAAUGUAUUAUUUAAGGCUAGUAACAAUUGUCGUGCCUUGGGACCUACUAUAGUCUUGAACUCGUAACAACCUUGCAUUAUCUUUUUCAUCUAUGGUUCUAUGCCUUGCCUCUCCUACUCAAUGUAAGCCCUUUGUGAGCAAGGAUUUUUUUUAAUACUUCUUUGCAUCUUUUACAACGCCAUUAAACUUAGUGUAUAUAGCAGGUACUCAAUAACUAUUUGUUGAUUGUAUAACUUAGAUUAUAUUGAUUGUGGAGUACUGGAUAUGGACUAGAUUGAGGUACUGUUUUCAUUUGCUUAAAGGGGAACAGAACUUGAAAAUUUUAGUUCCUAUAGUGCACCAAAGUUUCAUCCUGGCUAAUACUUAGUUUUCAGUCAGUGAUAGCUUUCAUGUUGCCUCUUUGAUUUGAUCAGAGAUCUAAGUCAAGCUGUUUUCAUUAUAAGUGGUAAACAGUAAAUUUUGGGGAAACCUGAUGUUAUAUGGAUAGAUCUGCUAGAGUUGCCAAUGGUUAAGAACAACCACCUCCACUCUUCCUCUAAAAUAACCGAUAUAUACUGGACAAAUUACCUAUUUAAGAAAAAAAAAAGUUGCUCUCACCCGAGAUUUUAUUCCUAGCUAGCAUAUCAUGUACCAAGUCAGCCUAAUAACAUGUGUAGCAGUUUAUAAUGAUUUCUCCUCUUUUCUGCCCAUCAGAUAGGACAAUACAUCUGUUAAAACCAUUCCAGAUUUCAAUGUUUUGCCUCUUGGUUUGUGAAUUUAAUUCCAAUCUCUUAGUAUUGUAUGAAACAAUGAAAUUCUUCAACCACUAGAGAAAAAAAGCUUUUUAAUAUUGAGUACAGUUGAUUACACAAUGAAAGGCUUUUUUCAUAAAAUAGAUCACGGAACCAAGUGUCAUCAACAAAUUAAGAAAAUAAAUGUUGGCAGAAUAAUAGGCAUACUGGUACACUGUUGGUGGAGCUAUGGAUUGGUCUAGCCAUUUUCCAAAAUAAUUUGGGACUAUUCAAAAAUGAUUAAACUAUGCAUGCAUACUUUGAUUAGCUUGUUAUAGUAAAUGGACUUAUGUACAAAAAUAUUUUAGUAAUUCUUUUGGUAGCAAUCAAAAAUUGAAAAUGAAAAGGCUAACCUCAAUUACGGAAUAGCUAAAUAAAUCAUAUGUAACGGUAAUGAAACUUUGUUCCAUAUGAAAUGACAAAACGGACAGAGAAAACUAAGAAGUUUUCUGUGACUAGAUGAAGAAUAAAGUGGACAGAAUAAGAACAGUUUAUACAAAGACUUUAUAGAGAAAAGAAAUUUUGAAAGACUUUAGAACUCUAAUCAAUGCAAUGACAAACUACAAGGCUAGAACAUGCCAUUCAGCUCUUGAUAGAGAAGAGAUAAACUUAAAUUAUAGGGAGAAAGAUAUAUUUUGGACAGGCAUGGCUAACAUAAGAAUUUGUUUUAUUGGACUAUGCAUAUUUAUAUUCACAAGUUUUAUUUCAAACUUUUUUGUUUUUUAAUAGGAAGCAAUGGGAAGGCCAUUUAAAAUAAUUAUUUUUAAAUAUCAUAGGUCAUCUAGUCUAAACUAUAUCCAAAUGAAUUAUAAAUCCAGUCUACAGCAUCUGUAACUAUUUCUUGAUCAUUCACUUUUUGCUUUAAAAGCCUUUCCUUUGACAGAGAACUUCUUCCUACUUCCUGCUCAUAUAAUUCAUUCUGAUUUCUUUUGACAUCUCCAAAUGUUAGGAGUGUUUUCCUUAUGUUGAAUCAGAAUCUGUCUCCCUUUAAUUUCCUCUGCUGUUCCUUAUUCUGUCUUUUGGUGCCAAGUUGAAUUCCCAUUCCACAUAAUAAUCUUUCAUUUAUUUCAAGAUUGUUAUGUCUCUCCAGGUCUUCUUCAAGUUAAACAUCCUUAGUUUCAGCUCCAGUUCCUACUUUUUCUUUUACCUAAUUUUUCUAUGUCUUCCAAUUUAUCUCCUCUCCCUCCCUUUUUUGUUGGAAUGGCCUUAUAAUAAUAGCUGACAUUUGUACAGCAAUUUAAGGUUUGCAGAGCACUUUUCAUGCAUUAUCUCAACUAUGUCUCAUAACAGUUCCAUCAGAUUAAUUUAAUACUGUAGCUUUUAUUAUAUGGCAUCCAAGACUGGACACACUACUCCAGAUAUUGGUUGAUCAACAAGGGUAGAAUAUAAUAGGAUUAUCACCUUCAUUCUGGACACUAUACUGCUGUUAAUGCAAUCUAACUGAUGUUACAUUAGUUCUUUUGAUUGCCUUUUUUUACUGCAUACCCAUUAAUCUUAUAAUCUUCUAUGAAACCUGCCUGUUUUUUACAUGAACUUUCUGUAUGGUCCCCUAUCCUCAGGCCUUUACUUCUACACUUAAUAUUUUGAACUUAAGUAUAGAACUUUUGAUUUAUCACUUUUGAAUUAGCUUUGGUCUAUUAUUCCAGCCUGUUUGACUGUUUGUUUUUUUAAAUUAUAGUUCUAUCAUCUACUGAUGUUUACUAUCUACCUCACCCCCAGCUUCAUGUAAUUCAUAAAUUUGAUGAGCAAACCAUCUGUAUUUUCAAGUCAUUUAUAAAAAUGUUGAUCAGAGCAGCACUAAGGAUAUUCCAUAGAGUGACCCUAGAGGUCUCCACAUUUAAUUAGCUCAUUUCAUAUUCAUCUAACUAUAUCACGGCCUACAUUUCUCCAUACCACCUACAUUUUUCUCUUUCCACAAAAGCAAUAUGAGAGACAGAACUAAAGCCAGGAAGUCCUAGGUUCAAAUCUCUCUUCAAAUACAUCCUAGCUGUGUGACCCUAAGCAAUCACUUAACUCCUGUUGCCUAUCCCUUAUCAUUUUCUGCCUUAGAACCAAUACUUAGUAUCAAUUCUAAGACAGAAGGUAAGGGUUUCUUAAAAAAAAAAACAAAUACUUAUAAAUUAAUUUUUAUUAAGCUCCUAGUAUGUGCUAGCCAUUGUGUCUAAUAAAUGUUAACUGAUUGACUGACUGACUAAGAGAUCUGGGCAGUUUUCUUUUAAGAUUUCUUAAAAUAAGUAUGUGUAGGCCCUUUCUUUGGUUACAGCCUUCAGAUAGUCCUAUGAUUGACUUACAGGUUAUCAUUCAAAAAUCCAUUUAGGAGAAUUAGAACACGCUUUCCCAUAACAGCAAUUUUAUAAAAGGUAUUUAGGUCCUUAGGCUAACUCACAAAUAUCUGGUUAAUUCUCAAUUUAGUUGCAUUAGUACUAGCCUAAGCUUUAGGGCCGAAGGCAAGGACCAUUUAGAAUAGGAAGGAGAAGGAAUUUGAAUUUAUCUUUUUUACUUAUAUGCCUGGCCCCAGUGGAAAAAACAAUUUUAAAUAUAUAGACUAGUGUAGUAUCUUCUCAUCUCCCUUGUUACACUCCUUUUCCAUUUCUUAAUGCUAAUGCUUAGGAAUCAUUGACUUUGUGCUGCCUACCCACUAAAGUGUUCCUCACUUGAAAAUUAGCUAUCUUCUUCCUUCCUGUGGAAGGGUAGGGAGAUGAAGGCUGUACCUCCCUUCUCAACCUCUCUUGCUCACAAUUUCCAUACCAUCAAAUGAUCUCAUUUAGGUAUUAGGAAAGACAAUCUGUUUGAAUCAGCCCACAUAAAUCAAUCAACAAAUAUUUAUUGAAUUCUUACUAUGUACUGUAAUGAUUGAUAUUCUUGACAAGAGAGUAUUUCAUAAUUUUAAAUUAAUUUAUUAAUCAAUCACUCAAGAAAAUCUAAAAUGGCCAGUAGACACCCUCUACAAUCCAAAUGGGCACCAACAAGAAUGAGUGAGGCAAAAGAAUGAAUUCCUCUGGCAUAACUCUUGUGACCUCAUUCAGUUCCUCCCCUAGAUAUCUCAAAACAUCUCUGAUUGAUAAAUAGCUACUGAGAAGGUUGACUUAAAGAUCCUGACUCCUCCCUUGUUACAUCUUCAUAGGAAAAGGGAUAUAAUCCUUUGUUACAAAGAUUUAAAAAAUAAAGAAGGAGGCAAUUUCCGGAAAAUUAAAAUCAACCUGAGAGAAUACGCAAUAUUGUAUAGCCAUGGUCCCCCACCUCUGCAAGGAUCUGAAUCAUAGAAUUUGAGAGUCAAACCUCAGACAAUCUAGCUCAAUCUAAAAUAAAUAUAAACUAUAAAAUGCCAGACAAGUGGUCCUAUCUUUUGCUUGAAGACCAGCCUAUUCUACUUUGGGUACAAUGCUUUUUGUCAAGAAAUUUUUCCAGAUGACAGACCUAAAUUUGUCUCUUCAUUUUCUUUUUUUUUAAACCCUUACCUUCCAUCUUGGAUUCAAUAUUGUGUAUUGGCUCCAAGGCAGAAGAGUGGUAAGGGCUAGGCAAUGGGGGUCAAGUGACUUGCCCAGGGUCACACAACUGGGAAGUGGCUGAGGCCAGAUUUGAACCUAGGACCUCCCAUCUCUAGGCCUGGCUCUCCACCCACUGAGCUACCCAGCUGCCCCCUGUCUCUUCAUUUUCUAUAAUUUGCUCCUAAUUUUGCCUUCUAGGGUCAAACAGAAUUAGUCUAAUCCCUACAAGUAGCAGUCCUUCAAAUUCUUGAACAUAGUUUUCAUAAAGAACUCCCUGAAUCUUCUUUUUUACAGACAGACAUUCCUGGUUCCCUCAGUAUAUCCUUAAAUAGCAUGAACUCAAGACCCUUUAUACUUCUGAGCUGGAAAAGAAAAUAGCAAACCACUCCAUUAUCUUUGUCAAGAAAGCCUCAAAUGGGGUGAUAAAGAGUUGAAUAUGGCUAAAAACAACUAAAUGAACAAAUUUCUCUAAAACCAAAAAGCAAGCAUUAUAAACAAUGGCAAUACACUAGCACCUUUUCCAGUAAAUAUGAAAUGCCAUUAAUAAAUAUUAAGUGCCUAUUAUGUGCCAGGCACUGUGCUAAGCUCUAGAGAUACAAGGAAAGUCAAAAGACAAAAUUUUGCCUUCCAAAAGCAAAGAGCUAUUGACCAAGGGGAAUAAGCACUCUUCCACCUCAAUCCAUAUUACACAUAGAGGAGCUAGAGAGGUAGGUGAGUGGUAUAGACUAGAUAAAUCAGAAAUAGUGCAACUCACCACAAUGUUGAAUAAAUGACCAAAAAUCAAAUUAGAAAACUAUUUGACAAAAAACUAGUGGGUAGGGGAGACUGGAAAGCAUUUUGUCAAGAAUUAGGCUUAGGCCAACAGCUUACACCACAUUGCAUAAUAAAGUCAAAAUUGGUGACAUGACCUUUAUAUUUAAAAUCAUCCUAUUAAAAAAUUAGAGUAGGCAGAGAUCAUAUACUUCUCAUAACUGUGGGUAAAAGAUAUAUUCAUGAUGAAAAAAGAGAUAGUGACAAUUACCAAAAAUAAAAUAGAUAACUUUGCAUGAAACUGAAAAGGUUCUGCAUGAAAUUUUAUGCACCUAGGAUAAGAAAGGAAGCAAUUAAGUGGGAAACAAUCUUUUUCUCUAAUUUCUUAGGUAAGGAUUUGGUAUAAAAGAUAUAUAAACAACAAACAUAUAUAUGUACAUGUAUACAUAUAUGACCAAAAGCUUUUCCCCAAUAGAUAAUCAACAAACAUAAGUUAAGCACCAGGCAUUAUACUAAGUGCUAAUCAAAACUUAUGGACAAAUAGUUCUCAAAUCAAUUGUAAACUAUUAAUAAAUAUACAAAAGUGCUCCAAAUCACUAAUAAUAAGAUAAAUUCAAAUCAAAACAAUCUCAAGUUUUCAUCUCAUAUCUUCCACAUUAGUAAUGACAAAAGUUGGAAUGAAUAAUUUUGGAGGGGUUGCGGGAAGAUAGGCGCAUUAGAACAUUUUUGGUAGAUCUGUGCAUCAGUACAGCAGAAGAAAGAAAUUUGGUAUCAUAUAAAGUGACUAAAAUGUUCAUACUCCUUCAGCUAGAGGUUCCAUUACUAAACACAUAACCCAAGGAUGUCAGUAAAAAGAACCAAGUCCCCAUUUACAGUAAUAUAUUUAUAGCAUGACACUAUAUAUAAGCAAAGAAAUCAUAACAGAUACCCAUCAAUUAAUUGUGUAAUGGCUAAACAAAUUAUGGUACCUGAAUGCAAUAGAAUAUUACUGUGUUAUAAAAAACGAUAAAUAGGAUGAAUACAAAGAAGCAUGGAAAGAUCUAUAGGACCUGAUGUAGAAUAAAGGAAGCAAAGCCAAGAAAACAACAUACCUUAUUAUUGCAAUGAUGUAAACAGACUUUGUGAUCUAUUGAUCAGUUAUGAUGAUUUUUUCCUUUUUUUUUUGCCUUUAAAACUGUUUGUUAUAUGAGAUGACUCACAAGGGAGCAAGAAGAAUACUGGGGAAAAUUAUGGUGAUAAACUAUUCAGUUUUCUCCAGAUUCUAUUAGGAGGCAGAAACAAGAUGGCAGUUUAGGAGCACAAAAGCCAAAACCUCUUUGACAAUCCUUCCAUACCAAUUUUUAAAAUGUGCUUCAAGGAAAACAAAUCCAAAUCCAACAAGGAAGUCACAGGACUCUCUUGCUGAAUACAACUUGAAAGGUAGGUACAGAUAGUCUAUUUUCACAGAAUAAAGGAGAGAUGGGUUAGCUGAACACCCUCCCCCACCCACUGCACUGAGACAUGCAGUAAGACUGGGCUGGCUAUGUGAGUCCCAGCUAGAGACUGCAGCUGCAAGGGAAUGCCUCUGACACACCGCACGAGGUCCAGGACUCCUACAAUAGCUGGCAGGGAGAAACCUGGGGUUAGGGCCAUUGGGUAGGACACCCUCUGCCCUGCUGGCUAGAGUGAAGAAUUUGCCCCAGAGCAGUCUAGUUUAGCUGGUUAACUCAACUGGUUGAAUCCAGUAUACCAGCAGAGGAUUGAGAAAAGAGAAUAUUUGGCCUCAGGGCAUAACAGCUCACACUCUGGUUCAGUAAAUCAACAGAGGGGCAAGUCUAUAUAGUCCAUUGGAUGGGGAAAGUAAAUAAAUAAAUAAGUGAGUAAGUAAAUAAAAUGAGCAAAUGAGGAAAAAAAAGAAAGCCACAAUUGAAGGAUCAAAGAACAGAACCAAUGGAAGAGGAUGGGAUCCAGGGAACAUCAACCAAAGCCUCAAUAAAAACCAAGGAAUUGGAUACAGGCUCUGGAGGACUGCAAAAAGGAAUUUAAAAAUCAAAUAAGACAAGUUGAAGAAAAAUGGCAAAAGGAAAACAGUAGCCUAAAAAGCAAAAUCUGGAAACCGAAGCACAGGGAUCAGAACAAGAAAAUAAUGAAUUGAAAGCCAGAAUUGAUCUGCAGGAAAAUGGGGGGAAAAGAAGUAGAAGAAGAAUUGAAGAAUGACUUGAAAAGAAAAAUGGACCAAAAGGAAAAGGAGGAUUAAACGGUCAUGGAAGAAAUUCAAUCUUUAAAAAUUAGAAUUGGGCAAUUAGAAGUUAAUGACUUCACGAGACACCAAGAAACAAAACAUAACUAUUAAAUCUAACUUUUCUAAAAUUUCAUUCACUUCCUCUACUUCUUUCUUAUUUAUUUUUUUGUUAGAUUUAUCUAGUUCUGAUAAAAGAAGGUUGAGAUCUCUCAUUAGUAUAGUUUUACUAUUUCCUCCUUAAACUCCUUUAGUUUCUUCUUUAAAAAUCUUAAUGCCAUACCAUUUGGUGAAUAUAUGUUAAGUACUGAUAUUACUUCAUUGUCUACACUACCUUUUAUCAAGAUAUAAUUGCCUUCCUUAUUUAUUUUAGCCAGAUCUAUUUUUGCUUUAGCUUUAUCAGAUGUCAUGAUUGCUACUUCUGCUUUUUUUAAAAAUCUCAAUUGAAGCCCAGUAGAUUCUACUCCAGCCCACUACCUUUACUCUGUGUAUGUGUCUACCUGCCUCAUGAGUUUCUUGCAUCAUAUUAUUAUUAUCAUCAUCAUAUCAUAGAAUUCUGUUUUUUAAUCCACUCUGCCAACCCAUUCUAUUUUAUGAGUGAGUACAUUCACAGUUAUGAUUAUCAUCUCUGUAUUCCCCUCUAUCUUGUUUUCUUCUUCUAAUCCUGCCUUUUCUGCUUUCACUCUAUUCUUCCACACCAGUGUUUUGCUUUUAAUCAUCCGCCAGUUCCUCCUCCCUUAUAUUACCCCCCUCCCCAUCACCUUCUUUCUUAUUUUCUCCUCUUCUACUUCUCUAAAGGGAAAGAUAGGAUUCUAUACCCAAUGAAUCUGGCUAUUCUUCACUCUCUGAAUCAGUUUCAGUGAGAGUAAGGUUUAAGUAUUAUCUGUCACCACCCUCAUCCUCCCCUCCACUGUAAUAGUUCCCACACACACACUUCUUAAUGUGAUAUAAUUUAUUCCAUUUUACUUCUCCCUUCCCAUUUCUCUUAGUGCAAUACUCUUUUUCACCCCUAGAUAUUUUUUUGCAUAUCAUCCUUAACAGCUUAUUGCCACACCCUCUAUGCAUACUUCUUCUAACUACUAUGAUAAUGCUAAAAAAUUUUAAGACUUACAGAUAUCAUCUUUCCACAUAGGAAAAUAAACAAACUGACCUGAUUGAGGUCCUUAAAUUUUUUUCUCUUGUUUACCUUUUUAUUCUUCUCUUGAAUUUUGUAUUUGGACAUCAGAUUUUCUGUUUUAAGUUUGGGCUUUUCUUCAGGAAUACUUGGAAAUCUUCUAUUUUAUUAAAUGACCAUUUUCCCCUGAAAGAACAUAGUUGGUUUUGUUGGAUAGGUGAUUCUUGGUUGCAAACUCAGUUCCCCUGCCUUCUGGAAUAUCAUAUUCCAAGCCUUCCUAUCCUUCAAUGUGGAAGCUUCCAGAUCCAUGGGUUCCAUGACUGGGGUUCCAUGAUAUCCUUCUGGCUGCUUGCAGUAUUUUUUCCUUGGCCUGGGAGCUCUUGAACUUGGCUAUAACAUUCCUGGGAGUUGUCAUUUGGGAUUUAUUACAGGUGCUAAUCUGUGGAUUCUUUUAAAUUUUCCCUCUUGUUCAAGAAUAUCAGGGCAGUUUUCUUUGAUAAUUUCUUAUAAUAUGAUUUCUAGGCUUUUUUUUAAAUCAUGACAUUCAGGUAGUCCAAUAAUUCAUAAAUGUCCCUCUUGUAUCUAUUUUCCAAGUCAAUUGUUUUUUCAAUGAGAUACUUCUUUUCUUCUCUUGAUUUUGUUUUAUUAUUUCUUGAUGUCUUAUGAAGUCAUUAUUUUUUGCACCCAUUCUAAUUUUUAAAGAACAAAUUUUCUUCCAUGACCUUUUGAUCCUCCUUUUUCAUUUGAUCCAUUUUACUUUUUAUGGAACUUUUUUCAUCAUUAGAUUUUCUUGCCAGCUUUUCCAGUAAGUCAAUUCUGUUUUCCAAGAAACUUUUCUUUAUUGGAUUUUGUUCCUCUUUUUCCAGUUGACCAAUUUUGCUUUUUAAGUUGUUUUUUUUCUUUUUGCAGUACUUUCAUUUCCUUUCCCCAUUUUCCUUCUACCUGUCACUUUAUUUUUAAUUCCUUUUGUAGUUCUUCCAGCCAGCACCUGAGAUUAAUUUUCAUUUUUCCUUGAUGUUUUACAUGUGGUUGCUUUAAUCUCACCAUCCCCUAUCAACUCUGUGCCUUGCUCUUUGUCACCAUAAUAAUUUUCUAUGGUUAGGAGUUUCUUUUGCUGUUUGCUCAUUUUCCCAUCCCUUUUUUGCCUGUGGAUUGGGAGUUCUAAAAGAUGCUGAUUAUGUCUCCUUUGUUGAUGGCUUGUAGGACUCAGCACUCUGAGCUUUUUUGCCCUGGGGCUAAAGGCUUCACCAUAGCACAGGUUUGAAAAGGUCUAGCACUAUGUAUGGACUUCUAGGCCUCAUUGCAGCAUAGUGCCAGGGCCUAGGACUUUAACAUGUGGGUCUAAGGUGCUCUUUUGUUGAUGUAACCCAUGUUCCAAGAUCUUGAAGUUGGCCUUUGCCCAGGCUCAGAACUUUUCAUAGUUGGGGGGAGGGGUUGGCCUGCACUCCUCUUUCUGCAGUUUUUCUUCUGAUUCCCCCUUAUCCUGUGAAAACCUACUCUGUGCCUACCUUUCAAGUUGUGUGCAUGAGAAGAGCCUCCUCACUCUAUCUUGCAGUUGGCUUUUGACUCUUGUCUUUUUGAAGUGCUUUUUAAAGAAUUCUCAGAGCAGUUAAAGCUUUUGCUGGUACUAAGCUGCCGUCUUGACUCCAUCCCUUACCAUUCUAAUACAGAUUUUAAAAUAAAAUGAAAAAAGAAUUAAAAGAAGUCUGUUAUAAUAGUUCAAGUAAUGGGUAAUUAUUGCCUAAACAAGGUGGUGGCUCCGGGAAUGAAAAAGAAUGGACAUAGAAGGAGAGAAGACUAACCAACUAGUUCAAAGUCAGGAGUGCAAGAAAAGGAGUAAAAAAUAACUGAGGUUUUGAAUCUAGGUAACAAGUUAGAUGGCAUUGAGCUUAGAGUCAGGAAAGACUUAAGUUCAAAUCCAGGCUCCGACACUAGCUGUGUGACCUGGGCAAAUCAUUUAGCCUCUAUUUGCCUCUCUUUCUUCAUUUAUAAAAUGAGGAUAAUAAGAGUACUUCACCUCCCAUGAUUGUUGUAAGGAUCAAAUGAGGUUAUAAUUGUAAAGUGCAUAGCAUAAUACUGAAAAAAAUUAAAAUUAAAUCUCUAAUAAAAAUAUUGUAUUUUAGGAGAUUUAUUAAUGAUAAUUAGACAUCAAGGAAUAAAGAGGAUACAAAAUAAAGACCAUGUUCCCAUGGCUGAUCAGCCAUUUCAAAAUCCCCACUCACCGCCGUCAUCAGGAAGUAUGUAAUGAUAGGAAGUCCAGUGGGCUCCUGGAAAAUACAGUUCUUUUUUUAGGGUAACAGAUUUUUAAUUCUACAAUACCUGGCACAUAGUAAGUGCUCUAUAAGUGUUAGCUAUUAUUAUCGUUAAGAGCAAGAGGUAAAAAAAAAAAUACAGAGGAACUAAUAGAAAAGCUUUAGAGUAGAAAAUAGGGUAAAGGAUAGUGAGUUUAGCUUUAGAUAUAUUGAGUGUCAGUAUCCAGUUGGAAAUGUCUAGCAAGGUAUUAGAAAGAAGGGAUGAGAAAUUGGUUGUUAUGUAUUGGGGAAGUAUUUGCAUUGAGGUGGGAGUUGAAAUUGAGUGUGAGAGAGAAUGACCCUUUGGAAAUAGCUGCAUUUAGGGAAAUAGUCAAUAAAAGAAAUAGGAAUUGAGAGAUAAAAAGAAAACUGACUAAUGUAUAUUUAAGAAAGACAAAGGGGGGGAAA